rnacentral:rRNA from 1 species
GACGAACGCUGGCGGCGUGCUUAACACAUGCAAGUCGAACGGAAAGGCCCUGCUUUUGUGGGGUGCUCGAGUGGCGAACGGGUGAGUAACACGUGAGUAACCUGCCCUUGACUUAGGGAUAACUUCAGGAAACUGGGGCUAAUACCGGAUAGGAGCUCCUGCUGCAUGGUGGGGGUUGGAAAGUUUCGGCGGUUGGGGAUGGACUCGCGGCUUAUCAGCUUGUUGGUGGGGUAGUGGCUUACCAAGGCUUUGACGGGUAGCCGGCCUGAGAGGGUGACCGGCCACAUUGGGACUGAGAUACGGCCCAGACGCCUACGGGAGGCAGCAGUGGGGAAUAUUGCACAAUGGGCGGAAGCAUGAUGCAGCAACGCCGCGUGCGGGAUGACGGCCUUCGGGUUGUAACCCGCUUUCGCCUGUGACGACGCGUGAGUGACGGUAAUGGGUAAAGAAGCACCGGCUAACUACGU